UCAUUGACCUCGGAUCAGGUAGGGAUACCCGCUGAACUUAAGCAUAUCAAUAAGCGGAGGAAAAGAAACCAACAGGGAUUGCCCCAGUAACGGCGAGUGAAGCGGCAACAGCUCAAAUA
rnacentral:rRNA from 1 species